rnacentral:rRNA from 1 species
AUUGAACGCCGGCGGAACGCUUUACACAUGCAAGUCGAACGGUAACGCGGAGAGAAGCUUGCUUCUCUCCGGCGACGAGUGGCGAACGGGUGAGUAAUACAUCGGAACGUGUCCACUCGUGGGGGACAACCAGCCGAAAGGUUGGCUAAUACCGCAUGAGUUCUACGGAAGAAAGAGGGGGACCCGCAAGGGCCUCUCGCGAGCGGAGCGGCCGAUGACUGAUUAGCCGGCUGGUGAGGUAACGGCUCACCAAAGCAACGAUCAGUACCUGGUCUGAGAGGACGACCAGCCACACUGGGACUGAGACACGGCCCAGACUCCUACGGGAGGCAGCAGUGGGGAAUUUUGGACAAUGGGCGAAAGCCUGAUCCAGCCAUUCCGCGUGCAGGAUGAAGGCCCUCGGGUUGUAAACUGCUUUUGUACAGAACGAAAAGGUUUCUACUAAUACUAGGAGCUCAUGACGGUACUGUAAGAAUAAGCACCGGCUAACUACGUGCCAGCCGCCGCCGUAA